rnacentral:lncRNA from 1 species
GCUUUUGAAACUUUAAGUCAAAUAUGGUUAAGUUUAUUUACAAGUUUGAUUAAGAAAAAUGAGUUUGAAAGUGCAAUGGCAUAAGGCCAAAGUUUCUAUUUUGCAAAAUGGUCUAAGUUUAGAAAAAACAAGUACAAACAAAGAAGUUUUUACAAGGAGGGAGAGAUUUUGAAAUUAAAGAAAUGGGGAGGAGAUGGAG